rnacentral:rRNA from 1 species
GAUGAACGCUAGCUACAGGCUUAACACAUGCAAGUCGAGGGGCAGCAGGAUCUAGCAAUAGAUUGCUGGCGACCGGCGCACGGGUGAGUAACACGUAUCCAACCUGCCGAUAACUCGGGGAUAGCCUUUCGAAAGAAAGAUUAAUACCCGAUGGCAUAAUUAGACCGCAUGGUUUGAUUAUUAAAGAAUUUCGGUUAUCGAUGGGGAUGCGUUCCAUUAGGCAGUUGGUGAGGUAACGGCUCACCAAACCUUCGAUGGAUAGGGGUUCUGAGAGGAAGGUCCCCCACAUUGGAACUGAGACACGGUCCAAACUCCUACGGGAGGCAGCAGUGAGGAAUAUUGGUCAAUGGGCGCAGGCCUGAACCAGCCAAGUAGCGUGAAGGAUGACUGCCCUAUGGGUUGUAAACUUCUUUUAUAUGGGAAUAAAGUUUUCCACGUGUGGAAUUUUGUAUGUACCAUAUGAAUAAGGAUCGGCUAACUCCGUGCCAGCAGCCGCGGUAAUACGGAGGAUCCGAGCGUUAUCCGGAUUUAUUGGGUUUAAAGGGAGCGUAGGUGGACAGUUAAGUCAGUUGUGAAAGUUUGCGGCUCAACCGUAAAAUUGCAGUUGAUACUGGCUGUCUUGAGUACAGUAGAGGUGGGCGGAAUUCGUGGUGUAGCGGUGAAAUGCUUAGAUAUCACGAAGAACUCCGAUUGCGAAGGCAGCUCACUGGACUGCAACUGACACUGAUGCUCGAAAGUGUGGGUAUCAAACAGGAUUAGAUACCCUGGUAGUCCACACAGUAAACGAUGAAUACUCGCUGUUUGCGAUAUACAGUAAGCGGCCAAGCGAAAGCAUUAAGUAUUCCACCUGGGGAGUACGCCGGCAACGGUGAAACUCAAAGGAAUUGACGGGGGCCCGCACAAGCGGAGGAACAUGUGGUUUAAUUCGAUGAUACGCGAGGAACCUUACCCGGGCUUAAAUUGCAUUUGAAUAUAUUGGAAACAGUAUAGCCGUAAGGCAAAUGUGAAGGUGCUGCAUGGUUGUCGUCAGCUCGUGCCGUGAGGUGUCGGCUUAAGUGCCAUAACGAGCGCAACCCUUAUCUUUAGUUACUAACAGGUCAUGCUGAGGACUCUAGAGAGACUGCCGUCGUAAGAUGUGAGGAAGGUGGGGAUGACGUCAAAUCAGCACGGCCCUUACGUCCGGGGCUACACACGUGUUACAAUGGGGGGUACAGAAGGCAGCUACCUGGUGACAGGAUGCUAAUCCCAAAAGCCUCUCUCAGUUCGGAUCGAAGUCUGCAACCCGACUUCGUGAAGCUGGAUUCGCUAGUAAUCGCGCAUCAGCCAUGGCGCGGUGAAUAUGUUCCCGGGCCU